UACAGAGGGGGCAAGCGUUGUUCGGAAUUACUGGGCGUAAAGGGUGCGUAGGCGGUCUCGCAAGUCUGGCGUGAAAGCCCAAGGCUCAGCCUUGGAAGUGCGCUCGAAACGGCGAGGCUGGAGUGCCGGAGGGGAGAGUGGAAUUCCCGGUGUAGCGGUGAAAUGCGCAGAUAUCGGGAAGAACACCCGUGGCGAAGGCGGCUCUCUGGGACGGUACUGACGCUGAGACGCGAAAGCGUGGGGAGCGAACGAGG
rnacentral:rRNA from 1 species